rnacentral:rRNA from 1 species
AGUGGAUGGGGAGCAACCUAGUUGUGCGUGUGUAAAGGUAGUGCCAAGAAAAGCGAUGAUCAUGUUGAAAAUCAAUUCCCGGUACCCGAAACCGACACAGGUGGGCAAGUAGAGAAUACUAAGGGGCGCGAGGUAACUCUCUCCAAGGAACUCGGCAAAAUGACCCCGUAACAUAGGGAGAAGGGGUGCCACCGAGAGGUGGUCGCAGUGAAGAGGCCCAGGCGACUGUUUAGCAAAAACAUAGGUCUCUGCAAACUCGAAAGAGGAGGUAUAGGGGCUGACGCCUGCCCAGUGCCGGAAGGUUAAAGAAGUUGGUCAGUUUUAGGAUGAAGCUAGCGACUGAAGCCCCGGUGAACGGCGGCCGUAACUAUAACGGUCCUAAGGUAGCGAAAUUCCUUGUCGGGUAAGUUCCGACCCGCACGAAAGGCGUAACGAUCUGGGCGCUGUCUCGGAGAGAGGCUCGGCGAAAUAGGAUUGUCUGUGAAGAUACGGACUACCUGCAUUUGGACAGAAAGACCCUAUGAAGCUUUACUAUAGCUUGGAAUUGUGUUCGGGCUUCCUGUGCGCAGGAUAGGUGGGAGGCGUAGAAGGUAUUCUUGUGGGGAUACUGGAGCCAACGGUGAGAUACCACUCUCAGGAGGCUAGAAUUCUAACUUAAUUAAGGACAGUUUCAGGUGGGUAGUUUGACUGGGGCGGUCGCCUCCAAAAAGGUAACGGAGGCGUACAAAGGUUCCCUCAGACUGGUUGGAAAUCAGUCGAAGAGUGCAAAGGCAGAAGGGAGCUUGACUGCGAGAAGUACAGUUCGAGCAGGGUGGAAACACGGUCUUAGUGAUCCGACGGUGCUGUGUGGAAGGGCCGUCGCUCAACGGAUAAAAGUUACUCUAGGAUAACAGGCUGAUCUCCCCCAAGAGUUCACAUCGACGGGGAGGUUUGGCACCUCGAUGUCGGCUCAUCGCAACCUGGGGCGGAAGUACGUCCCAAGGGUUGGGCUGUUCGCCCAUUAAAGCGGUACGUGAGCUGGGUUCAGAACGUCGUGAGACAGUUCGGUCCAUAUCCGAUGUAGGCGUGAGAAUAUUGAGAGGAGCCUUCCUUAGUACGAGAGGACCGGGAAGGACGCACCGCUGGUGUACCUGUUAUGAUGCCAAUUGUAAACGCAGGGUAGCCAAGUGCGGAGAGGAUAACCGCUGAAAGCAUCUAAGUGGGAAGCCCACCUCAAGAUGAGUAUUCUGGUGUAAGGUCACGGGAAGACGACCCGUAAAUAGGCACGAGGUGGAAGUGCAGAGAUGUAUGAAGCCGAAGUGUACUAAUAGACCGUCGGCUUGACC